UCGGGAAUAUUGCGCAAUGGAGGAAACUCUGACGCAGUGACGCCGCGUGCAGGAAGAAGGUUUUCGGAUUGUAAACUGCUUUAGACAGGGAAGAAGAAGUGACAGUACCUGUAGAAUAAGCUCCGGCUAACUACGUGCCAGCAGCCGCGGUAAUACGUAGGGAGCGAGCGUUAUCCGGAUUUAUUGGGUGUAAAGGGUGCGUAGAUGGAUAAGCAAGUUGGUUGUGAAAUCCCUCGGCUUAACUGAGGAACUGCAACCAAAACUGUUAAUCUUGAGUGCUGGAGGGGAAAGUGGAAUUCCUAGUGUAGCGGUGAAAUGCGUAGAUAUUAGGAAGAACACCGGUGGCGAAGGCGACUUUCUGGACAGUAACUGACAUUGAGGCACGAAAGUGUGGGGAGCAAACA
rnacentral:rRNA from 1 species